rnacentral:sRNA from 1 species
GAUAAUUAUUGAUGGAGCUAAUUUGACCAUUUCUAAUGUAACUUUAGAGGACCAAGGCAUUUACUGCUGUUCCGCUCAUACUGCUCUAGACAGUGCUGCCGAUAUAACUCAAGUAACUGUUCUUGAUGUUCCGGAUCCACCAGAAAACCUUCACUUGUCUGAAAGACAGAACAGGAGUGUUCGGCUGACCUGGGAAGCUGGAGCUGACCACAACAGCAAUAUUAGCGAGUAUAUUGUUGAAUUUGAAGGAAACAAAGAAGAGCCUGGAAGGUGGGAGGAACUGACCAGAGUCCAAGGAAAGAAAACCACAGUUAUCUUACCUUUGGCUCCAUUUGUGAGAUACCAGUUCAGGGUCAUAGCCGUGAACGAAGUAGGGAGAAGUCAGCCUAGCCAGCCGUCAGACCGUCAUGAAACACCACCAGCAGCUCCAGAUAGGAAUCCACAAAACAUAAGGGUUCAAGCCUCUCAACCCAAGGAAAUGAUUAUAAAGUGGGAGCCUUUGAAAUCCAUGGAGCAGAAUGGACCAGGCCUAGAGUACAGAGUGACCUGGAAGCCACAGGGAGCCCCAGUGGAGUGGGAAGAAGA